rnacentral:rRNA from 1 species
UACGGAGGGAGCUAGCGUUGUUCGGAAUUACUGGGCGUAAAGCGCACGUAGGCGGCUUUGUAAGUUAGAGGUGAAAGCCCGGAGCUCAACUCCGGAAUUGCCUUUAAGACUGCAUCGCUUGAAUCAUGGAGAGGUUAGUGGAAUUCCGAGUGUAGAGGUGAAAUUCGUAGAUAUUCGGAAGAACACCAGUGGCGAAGGCGACUAACUGGACAUGUAUUGACGCUGAGGUACGAAAGCGUGGGGAGCAAACAGG